rnacentral:misc_RNA from 1 species
AAUUCUCAACCUCCCCAAUUUCUUGGGAAGGCUUGGACUUUGGAGGCUGUUGCUGGUCUCUCUUUUGAAGCCAGCUCCUCUUAAACGAAUUAGUGGGGUCCCUCUUCGCCGGUCCCUCGACGUGAUAAGAUUUUUCUACGUCCGGGGUUUGGCUCUGUAGGCCCGCUUCUAAUCAUCUUUUGAACCCU